AAUAGAUACCCUGGUAGUCCAUGCCGUAAACGAUGUCUACUAGCCGUUGGGGCCCUUGAGGCUUUAGUGGCGCAGCUAACGCGAUAAGUAGACCGCCUGGGGAGUACGGUCGCAAGACUAAAACUCAAAUGAAUUGACGGGGGCCCACACAAGCGGUGGAGCAUGUGGUUUAAUUCGAUGCAACGCGAAGAACCUUACCUGGCCUUGACAUACAGAGAACUUUCCAGAGAUGGAUUGGUGCCUUCGGGAACUCUGAUACAGGUGCUGCAUGGCUGUCGUCAGCUCGUGUCGUGAGAUGUUGGGUUAAGUCCCGCAACGAGCGCAACCCUUUUCCUUAUUUGCCAGCACUUCGGGUGGGAACUUUAAGGAUACUGCCAGUGACAAACUGGAGGAAGGCGGGGACGACGUCAAGUCAUCAUGGCCCUUACGGCCAGGGCUACACACGUGCUACAAUGGUCGGUACAAAGGGUUGCUACUGCGCGAGCAGAUGCUAAUCUCAAAAAGCCGAUCGUAGUCCGGAUCGC
rnacentral:rRNA from 1 species